rnacentral:rRNA from 1 species
UACAGGUGGUGCAAACGUUGCUCGGAAUUAUUGGGCGUAAAGCGCGCGUAGGCGGCUACUUAAGUCGGAUGUGAAAGCCCUUGGCUCAACUGAGGAAGUGCACCCGAAACUGAGUGGCUAGAGUACGAAAGAGGGUCGCGGAAUUCCCGGUGUAGAGGUGAAAUUCGUAGAUAUCGGGAGGAACACCGGUGGCGAAGGCGGCGACCUGGGUCGAUACUGACGCUGAUGCGCGAAAGCGUGGGGAGCAAACAGG